UACGUAGGGUGCGAGCGUUAAUCGGAAUUACUGGGCGUAAAGCGUGCGCAGGCGGUUCGGUGUGUCGGCGGUGAAAGCCCCGGGCUUAACCUGGGAAUGGCAUUUGGGACUGCAAGGCUGGAGUACGGCAGAGGAGACUGGAAUUCCUAGUGUAGCAGUGAAAUGCGUAGAUAUCGAGAGGAACACCUGCGGCGAAGGCGGGUUGCUGGGCUGACACUGACGCUGAGGCGCGAAAGCUAGGGGAGCGAACGGG
rnacentral:rRNA from 1 species